AAAAAGAUAAGCUAAAUCUAAGCUUAUGGGCUCAUACCCCAUCUAUGAAAUCUCUCUUUCUCUUUUUA
rnacentral:tRNA from 1 species